rnacentral:rRNA from 1 species
UGGGGAAUAUUGCACAAUGGGCGCAAGCCUGAUGCAGCCAUGCCGCGUGUAUGAAGAAGGCCUUCGGGUUGUAAAGUACUUUCAGCGGGGAGGAAGGGAGUAAAGUUAAUACCUUUGCUCAUUGACGUUACCCGCAGAAGAAGCACCGGCUAACUCCGUGCCAGCAGCCGCGGUAAUACGGAGGGUGCAAGCGUUAAUCGGAAUUACUGGGCGUAAAGCGCACGCAGGCGGUUUGUUAAGUCAGAUGUGAAAUCCCCGGGCUCAACCUGGGAACUGCAUCUGAUACUGGCAAGCUUGAGUCUAGUAGAGGGGGGUAGAAUUCCAGGUGUAGCGGUGAAAUGCGUAGAGAUCUGGAGGAAUACCGGUGGCGAAGGCGGCCCCCUGGACGAAGACUGACGCUCAGGUGCGAAAGCGUGGGGAGCAAACAGG